CGUCGGUGUGGGGCCGGUGACGUGGGACCCCAUAGUGGCGGCAUACGCGCAAUCAUUCGCGGAGAAGCGCCGCGCCGACUGCCAGCCAAUACUCUCUCCGGAGGGCGGUCCAUACGGAGAGAACAUCUUUCGGGCCCCUGGUACCGAAUGGAAUGCGAUAGAUGCAGUAAUUUAUUGGGCGUCCGGAAAGCAGUACUACGACCACGCCACCAACACUUGCUCCGCACCUAUGGGUGAGUCGUGCGGCGAAUACCUGAAUUUGGUGUGGAGGGACACGAAGACCAUCGGUUGCGGCGCUGUCGUCUGUGACGGCAACGCCGGUGUGUUUGUCAUCUGCGGCUACAGUCCGCCGCACAUGGUUGGGCAGAUUCCAUACUAGGCUACGUACCAAGUAUGCAUGCGGCUAUGUAUGCAUGCAUGCACAUAGCACCGUGCUGCAUAAAUAAAUAAUUAAGGGAUACUUCUAGGGCUGGAAACUAAUUAUAGGUCGAUUGAUGUCACCGAUAUGUGUGUGUGUCCAGAAACCCUCCUGCCUUCACUCCUGUAUCGUUCCGGGCUUUGAUUGUUUUGGUAUUUGUCUUGUAACUUGUGAUUCGUCUUUAAUUUGUUGUAUUUGAGCUUCUUAUUCUGGUUGUAUCCGGGCUUUGCUCUGGAUGGGUCUCUAGUAUAGUUGGAACGAGAAAAGAACAAGCACAAUAUCACGUAGACCUUAAGUUCAAGCAACAUGUUUGUGUUCUACAGAACAAAACUUACAUGUCUCUUAUAUUUUAAAUAAUCUGAUUUCAGCAAUGUGUUUUCAAAAUGAAAUAACAAACUUCAACGAAACUGAUAAAAUAUUUUAGUGGCCUUGUAGCGAUGCUUAUCGAAGGUUGUUUAGCAACGAUGCCCGAUUUUUUUCACAUGAAAUGCGCUGAUUUAUGAGCAAUAAUAUGGAUAACAUAGCAAAAAAUAAUAUACUACUAUAUUAAUAGAGCACAACUCUCAUGAAAAGUUCUACUUAAUCAAGGUGCAAGUUAAAAAUCAAAUGUCCCAAAAUAAGAUGGUUACACUAUUACAAGUUCUGCUUGGAACAAGAAAAUAAUUUCAACCCUGAAUAGGACAACAACUCAAACACCAGAAUGACCAUGGCCGCACGAGAUGUCCUGGUCCUCCAUGACCCAUAUCACCUUCUCCUUCCUACACAAGAAUAACCGGAACGUUCUUACUGAUUGUCUACAAUUUUUACCUGAAUUAAAUAAGCCCAUAAUCCACAACCUAAAACGUAUAUUACCUGAUCAGGCUUUUUUAUUUUUGAAGUCAAUGAUCUUGGGAAUAGACUACCGUGCAUUUCUUCUAGCGUAACUCCGUCAUUUGCGCUAAUUGGCGGAACUGGUCAUCUAGUAUCACUAAAGCUACGAGGUAUCGCCCCCUCAUCUUUGGAAACCCCCACUCUAUUUCUCCCUUGUAUCUUCCACUUGAGCGAAAUCGUGAGUUAAUUCAGUUCGAUGCAUACGUGAUGGGUAUAUUCGUUUUAGUAAGUAUUGUUUUUUCAAACAGCGGACAUGAUAUGUUGCGACACUGGCUGCCUCUUGAGAAGCUAAUCCACAUCUGCUCGGAAGGUAGUUGUUUGGCGUAUCGUGUAUAUCAUGCACUGGUUUGCUCAUUUAUGCAUCCAUAAACCGAUGUUUUUUCUACUGCAUGGCCUGGCGCGGCAUCCAUGGUGAAAAAACAUGUUGGGUACUUUUUUUCAUUCCGAUGAGGUCUCCGCCUAUUGUUAACCAUCCGGUGAGGUCUUCGCUUAUUUUAUACGACCUGGUGAGGUGUCUGUUUAGUGAAUGGCUUCAAUGUUUUACUUGGAAUAGUUAUGUUACACUACACCACAACACUUGAUUGGGGGCAGCUAACUGCCGGGAAAAAAUCUGCCUAAGGGCAAUAUAUCUGCCGGGACAUCUGUUACUGCCGCUAUAAAAAUCUUAGGGCGGCCUUACUAUCGGGAGAACUACAGCAGCAACGGCACGUGCACUGCCGACAUCUUUACGGCAAAUAAUCUGCCGGAGGAACUAAAUCACGGCCCACUGUCUGCCGGCCCAUGCCGGAGACCGUCUUUGGCGUGAAACAGUACGGUAGAGCGCGCCAGCUAGGAAAAAAGCACGCGACUUGACGAAAAAUUUGGCCCAUUGUGAAAAUAGACGCGCCGGCCCUCCCGCGACCAAAUCGAUCCCCACCCUGCGCCUCCACCGAAUCGACCGCCGCCGCCCCCAAAACCUAGCUCACCGCCGGCAUAACCCCUCACCACCGCAGCUCCUGCUCCAGUUUGGCCCCCCCACCCCCGCUGCCGGCGUAACCCCUCACCACCGCAGCUCCUCCACCCCUCACCACCGCAAGCCACCGCCGCCCCAACCAUCCAUCCAUCGCCGGCGCCGCCGCUCCCAACCAACCAUCCACUGCCGCCGCCGCCCCCAACCAUUCACCCCUCGCCAGCGCCGCCGCUCCCAACCAACCAUCCACUGCCGCCGCCGCCCCCAACCAUACAUCCAUCGCCGGCGCCGCCGCUCCCAACCAACCACUGCCGCCGCCCCCAACCGACCAUCCACUGCCGCCGCCGCCACCAACCAUUCACCGCCCUCCACCAGACCGAGCUCUUUCCUCCCCGAGCUCUGUUUCCGCCCGCCACCAAGCCGCUGUCAGCCACUGUCGUCGUUGCCGCACUCCAGAUCGAGCUCUGUUUCCUCCCCGAGCAGGCUUCACUGAGCAGGCGCCGCCGUGAGUGCUCCAAAUUUCAAUUUCGGUUUCUGGCCCUUUACCUUUCGGUGGUACAGAGCGUAGGCGUUGUGCUGGAAUGGAUUCCUGUGGAGUUUGUAGCCAUCCGUCCAUGUGAACGCUGGGCAUCCUUGUCAUUCCGCUCGCUUCACUAUCGUUAUCAGUGAACUGAACAUAAGCAAGUCUAUUCACUAUUCACAGCGCGAGACGGUUUUAUUUACAGUAACUAUUUUUGUAGCACCUACUUCUCCUUCCUCCACAAGCCCCUGAAGCAGCAGACCGCGCGUUGGCCCUCCUCUCCAGCGAGCAGGCACCUCGUCCACAAGCCCCUGACGCAGCAGUCUCCGCGGGUUGGCCCUCCUCUCCGGCGAGCAGCUUUGCCUACUGAACAUCGAGUCUACUAUACUUCAUUUGACAGCUCGUGAGGUUUCAUAACAAUUUUUUGCCUUCUUUUGUUCUAAAUGUGCAGCUAUGGAUCUUGAGAUCAAAGCCCCGAAGACUACAUUGCUAGUUUGAUCCCAAUGAAUUCGUUUGUUCUUCCUUGCCGAUGGCUAGAACACCUCCUGCCCUUUGAAGCUUGUGCUCAAAAUAAUGUUGAAAAGUAGCAGCACUAAACUAUUCCGUCAGUUAGAACAAAGCAUUAAGUUUUAAUUGCUUUGAUAUAAUAACAACAAAAAAACCAUGAGUCAAACACGUUUGAAGGUUAUUUGCUUGUCUAAAAAUGAACACUGCUACUGUUAGUAGCCCUUCAGAUCAAAGAACAGGGACCAUUGCUGAUUAACAAGUGCAUACCUUCAUUAGAUUUUUUGACACAAGACUAAGUUGUAUAGUUGAGCUUUGGAGUUCACUUUAAUUUGAGAUGAAAGAAAGCUAGUUAUUUAAGUUCUUUGUUUGUUUAGUUAAUGCCCCAAGGUAGUACCAUGUUUGUUUGAGUUUUGCCAAAUACGAGAUGUGUACAGAACAUGUGCUAUGCUUUUAUGAUAUAGAUGAUGGCAUUCUUAUUGCUAUUUUGGUAUUUGUAUUUUCUGAAAUGACAUGUUUCAGUUAAUUAUAUUUUGUUGUGUGAUGACAUUUCUUCUCGUAUUGUAUUUCUUGUUGCUUGUACUAGAUAUUGUUGAUCUGCAAUUUGUUACUAUAUUUUUUCCUUAAUAGAAGUAUACUUUCUCGCAUAUUAGGCAAUUUUAGUGAAACUGGUCAAGAAUGGACAAGAGUUGGAUGGAUAAAGCUAGAAAUACAUAAGCAUAUAUAGACGGGGUAGAGAAAUUCAUAGAUUUUGCUUUUACGCAUUCAGCAAGAGGGAACACUAUACUAUGUCCUUGUAGAAUUUUCUUGAAUUGUUGUUGGUUUGAAGCUAAUGUUGUCUAUGAGCACUUGUUAUGCGAUGAGUUUAUUAAUGGGUACAAACGAUGGAUAUAUCAUGGGGAGGCAUCAUCAUCUCUUGCAUCUGAGAGUGACCAUGAUGAGGUUCAACCUGAUGAUUUUCAAGAGGAGAUUGACUUAGAUGACUAUGAUGAGAUGCUUGAAAUGAUUCAAGUUAUAACACAUCAAAAUGGGGAUUUUAGUGGUGGUACUAGUGGGGAGGAUCCAAGUCACCAGGAUGCAGAGCCUGAGGGCGUCGACCCUCUUCUAGAGAAGAAAAAGAAGAAGGAUGAAGAUGCUUUCCGACAAUUCAUAGUUGAUGAUAGGGAGGAGCUUUAUCCAGGGUCCACAACCUUCUCAAAGCUACGUUUUGUUGUUAGGUUACUCCAUACAAAAUCUCUUGGAGGUUGGAGUGAUAAAAGUUUUGACAUACUGCUAGAGUUCCUAAAAGAGUCCUUUCCAACAGCAAAGCUACCCAAAAACUUUUAUGAAGCUAAGAAGAUGAUAAAAUGCCUUGAGCUUGGUUAUAUAAAAAUUCAUGCAUGUGAGAAUGAUUGCAUUUUGUUCUGGAAGGAACAUGCAAAUAAGGAUAUUUGUCCUACAUGCAAAACUUCUCGGUGGAAAUCUGAAAAGAAUAGUCUUGAUGGGAAACAUGUACACAAGGUCCCAAGGAAGGUUCUUCGUUAUUUUCCAAUAAAGAAGAGGCUACAACGCCUUUUUGUGUCCGCAAAGAGUGCAGCGGACUACAGAUGGCAUGUUGAAGAACGUACAAGAGAUGGACUAAUAAGGCAUACAGCGGAUGCUCCUGAUUUGAAGGACUUUGAUGGCAAAUAUCCAGAUUUUGCUAAAGAUAGUCGCAACAUGAGGAUGCUUGUAGCAUCCGGUGGUUUUAAUCCAUUUAGGACAAUGAAGUUAUCCUAUAGUGUCUGGCCUGUUUUAGUAAUUCCAUUGAAUCUUCCUCCUUGGUUGUGCAUGAAGCAGCAUAAUUUCAUCCUCUCUUUGCUAAUUCCUGGUCCAAGGUCACCUGGGAGAGAUAUAGAUGUAUUUCUUGAACCACUUAUUGAUGAUUUGAACUCGCUUUUUGAGGAGGGUGUUAGAACCUAUGAUGCCUCGACCGGUAAACCCUUCAACCUGCAUGCUGCUGUAUUGUCAACUACAUCAGACCUCCCAGGCUUAUGCACUCUAUCAGGGAUUGUAACCUCUGGUGAAUUUGGUUGUCCAUUGUGUGGCUCACAUACUUGCUCUCUUCGGUUGAAGGAAGGCAAGAAAUUUUGCUAUAUGGGACAUCGAAGGUUUCUUGAUCCUAACCAUGAAUACAGAUUUGAUGAAGAAUCCUUUGAUGGUGUGGAAUUAGGGACAACACCUGUACCACUUACUGGAGAGGAAUUUUUGGCCCUCACUGAAAAUAUGAAGACUGUUUUUGGAAAGGACCCUUCCGGGAAAACAACCACGAAGAAGCGCAAGGUUGGCGAACCACCAAUGGUUCAGAAAACAAAAUCCAUAUGGUUUAGGUUGAGAUACUGGAAAGACUUGCUGCAGCCUCAUAAUCUUGAUGCAAUGCACAUUGAAAAGAAUGUAUGUGAAAAUAUAAUUAACACACUUCUAUGCAUGGAUAAAAAAUCAAAAGAUAAUUAUAGCUCUCGUAGAGAUCUAGAGCAUCUCGGAAUAAGAAAAGCUCUCCAACCUGUCCUAGUAGGCGAACAAUUUGAUUUGCCUACUGCACCCUACACAAUGGACAAUGAAAAGAAGAAACUGUUUUGUGAAAUUUUGAAGGAAGCUAGGUUCCCUGAUGGUUGCUCAUCUGAUAUACGUCGGAAUGUCCUUGUGAAGCAGAAAAAGAUCGUUGGGCUGAAGAGCCAUGACAAUCACAUUCUUUUGCAACAAUUGCUUCCACUAGCUGUUCGGAACCAAUUGCCAAAGGAAGUCGGUAUUGCCUUGGUUCGUGUCAGCAGAUUCUUCAACCAAAUAUAUUCUCCUGUCAUUAGCAUAAGUGACAUGGAGAAGCUAGAGGGAGAAAUAGCUGAGACCUUGAGCAUUCUUGAGGCCAUAUUUCUGCCAUCAUUUUUUGAUCUUAUGGUUCACUUGAUGGUUCAUCUUCCAACCCAAGUGAGGCUAGGGGGGCCAAUAAAGUACAGCAGCAUGUACCUAGUAGAAAGGUCAUCCCUAUAAACCUAUUUUCUUGGUAUCGUAUGGUUUCUUGCUUCCCCCAAAAUAAUCUGAUAUAUCUUACGUAUGUACUAUAUAGGUAUAAUAUGAAGCUAAAGGGGUUUGUAGGUACCAAGAGCCACCCCGAGGGGUCAAUUGCAGAGGGCUAUGUGUUUGAUGAGAGCCUUACAUUCUGCUCCCGUUAUUUACAUGGAUGUGAGACUAGAUUUAACAGAAAAUGCAGAAAUGACGCCCCUGAGACCAAUGUAUCUACUAUGCCAUUUUUUACCAACAAGGGUCGAUUUUUGGCUGGAAAGCAUAUAGUGACCUUAGAUCACAAGUCAUGGCUGCAAGCACAUCGAUAUGUUUUGUUUAAUUAUGAUAACAUAGAUUCAUAUUUGAGGUAUUUUAUUUCUAAGAAUUUCUUUCAUUUGAGCCUAUGAACGAUAUUUGUCAUAUUGCUGAAUUUGCAUACUUAACUCCUGCAGCAAGUAUGAUGCCUAUUUAACUUCGGUUGGCCACGGGAAUAAGUUAGAGAUUAGUCGCAUUCGCCAUGAGAAAUUCCAUGAGUGGUUUAAGCUCCAUGUGGCACAACUAAUUGCGAAUGGUGAAGAUAUUUCUGAAGAGAUUCAAACUUUAGCUAACGGCCCCUUCUUAGCUGCAAAGAAGUGUAAUAGCUAUACCAUAGAUGGGUACAAUUUACACACAAAUUCGUAUGAUCAGGGUAGACCUUCCCAAAGCAGCGGGGUUGCUCUGGUAUCGCAGAUUUUGUCUUCCACAAGUGAAGAUAAUGAAAAUCUUAUGGUCGGGAAUAAAAUAUAUUAUGGUGUGAUAACUGAAAUCCUUGAGUUAAAUUAUAACAACAAAGGAAGUAUUGUGCUUUUCAAAUGUGAUUGGGUUGACAACAGUGCAAAAGACAAGUGGGUUCAAGUCAAUGAUCUUGGUGUCACACAAGUGAACUUCAAGCAUUUACUCAAGUCUGAUGAACCUUUCAUUUUGGCAUCUCAAGCAACCCAAGUGUACUAUGUGCAAGAUAAGCUUGAUAAAGAUUGGUAUUCUGUUAGAAGCUUUCCUCAUCCACGAGACCUGUAUGAUAUGUGUGGAGUUGGAGAUGAAGAUUUUGACCACCAUGAGGCACCUACUGUGUCAAUUGCUGAUCUGGAUGCGAAUGUAGAUCUUAGUGUUGAUGUUAGAAAUAUACAUCGUUGUAGGACAUAUAUAGAUGGAACACUUGUUCCUGCAGUUCAGCAACCAAAGCGUGUGCCUUUUCCUUUCAUUUUUCAGUUACAUGCUUAUAUACUUGAUAUCCAAUGUGUCAAUUCUAAUGUGGUAUAAAUUUUCUUUUCAGGAAAAAAGAUGGAAAAAGGAAGAGACGAAGACAAUGCUGAAGCAUGAGAGGAAGAGAGGCUAGCGAAUCUUAAAGCAAGAAACAGUGAGGAUUUUGCACGAUUUGGGUCUUCCAGAUUUGGAGAUGCUAAAGAAAUUUCUGGAGGCAAAGCCAGUCAGCGGCAAACUAAAAGAAAGAAGGUGAUAGAACAUGCUUCUAUAUAUUUGGUUAUUGCAUCUAUUACUUCAGUUUUACAUAUCUUGUUUUGUUAUGUGUAGAGCACCGUAGAAAAGCCUAUUGUUGAAGUAACUCGAGUUCUUAGGUCCCAAACGACUAGAGAUGUUGAUAACAUGCCAAGUGAUAACAUUGAAGAGCACGAAGGGCACGAAGGUAUGUAGCUCAAAAAUCUAUGUAUACAGACUGCUAGUUAAAUGAUGACAACCUACUAACUAUUUUGCAUGUUUAGACCAUGAGUUGGAUCAAGAAACAAAGGGGAAGAAGGGGAAAACGCACUAGAAUGCACAAUGUGUAUGAUAGAUUGGGAACAGUCCCACCAAUUCGUGUGGAGUACAAUGGUGAUGGACAACCAAUUGGGGACAAUGCCUCGGAGUUUUCAAACUUCAUCUCAACACUUGUGAAAAGUAAAAUAUCUCUUGGGCAUAAUGAUUGGAGAAAGGUUGAUGUUGAGCAAAAAAAUAAUUUGUGGAAAACCUUAAAGGUAUACUCUAUGGUUUCUGGUAUAACUUGCCCCUUUAUCUCUAGAUGACUUGUAGUAUAACUUUCCCAUUUAUCUAAUACAUCAUCCUUACACUCUCCAUUUACACUUGCUUGAAAUCAGAUGUACUAUGUUGUGGAUGACAAACUGAAGGAUUGGGUAAUGGGAAGCGCUGCGAAGAAAUGGAGGGAUUUCAAAUCUGAGUUGAAGACUUUGUAUUUUGAUGAGAAGAUGACCGAUGAGGAACUUCAAGUUGUCCCAGAUAACAGAGUUAGCCCAACUGAUUGGAAAGAGCUUGUUGCUUUUUGGAAACCUGAAGCAGGGAACGUACGUUGCAAGAAAAUACAUGUGCACUUUCCUCUAGUUUUGCCUAAUUUACAAUUCAUUGAAUCAAUAUUUGUAGCAACAUAGCGAGCAAGGAAGAAAAAAUCGAAUGGAGAUGGAAUUAUUGCAUACAUCAGGCAGCAAAAGUCAUGCCCGUGUUUGUCAUGAAAUGGUAUAUAAUUAUCUUAUAUAACUCUAUUUUACCAUUUCUUGAUUGUUAUGAACUAAUUUAAGAAAAUCAAUGUAGCAUAAGAAGAAUGGAUAUCCCCCUCAGAGACAUGAACUGUCUAUAGAAACACACACGUGCAAGAAGACUGGUGCCCCUUCAAGUGUGGCUGCAGCAACUAUGUUUGUAAGUAUUUUGAGUUGCAACAAUCUUUAGGCUUUGUACUUGUUAUAUUUUUCUCUAGAACAUUGGAGUUAUAGUCUUUAGUAGACACUAUGUUGGUGAUGUGUUCAUGGAUCAUAUGUUCUGUCUUGUAGAAAAAGAUAGAAGAGAAGUCAAAUGAGCGUCCAGAACUUUUAGAAAAAAGCAUCAAGCAAGGUGACCUCUUCUCGCAUGUCGCAGGAAAGGAGAGGAAUGGGUAUGUGAGGUGUAUAGGUCUAGGACCAAGUGCUGCAGGUUUGGGCAUGUCGGGUACUAGAAAGCUGAAAUCCACGAAGCUUCAAAUGGCUGAGGAAGAAGCAAAAGAAGCUUGGCAAUCAAAUGCAAUUCUUUUCGAGCGUGUAGAUCAAAUGGAGAAUAAUUUCCAAACAGUAGUUACAACUCUGAAGGAUGAACUUCAACAAAUGAGGACACCGUUACAAUCAAAAGUGCAGCAAAAUAUUCAGUUCAAUCAAGAGUAUGACUUGUCUCACUCUGCAUAUGGAUAUGGAGGUGGCCAUGGUGGUGGCUAUCGAUAUGAAGGUGCCCAUGGAAGUGGAUAUCGACAUGAAGAUGGAUAUGAAAGUGGAUAUGGAGGUGGAUAUCGACAUAAAGAUGGAUAUGGAGGUGGAUAUCAACAUAAAGAUGAAUAUGAAGGUGGAUAUGGAGGUGGGUAUGGACAUGAAGGGGGGUAUGAACAUGAAGGGGAGUAUGAGCAUGAAGAGAGUGCACAAUCUGCCACCCGCAACCAUGAGGUGCGGCAAGAUAAAGAAGCAACCAUUUUGCAUAAGAAGGCUCAAUAAGCACUCUUGCAAAAUAAGUUAACGCCAUCCGCUCAGAAAAACUUUGUACUUUCUAGUACCGCUCAACAUGAGGUGCUGCAAGAGAAGGAAGCAACCAUUUUGCAAAAGAAGAAUGCAACAUGGCUCACACAACAAAGUAAGGAUGUGGCACUUCAUCGCCACAAGAUGGAAACAAGCAAGGAAGUUGCAAUCACACACAAAAAUCAGCAGGUCAGAUUGUACUUUGUUUAUAUUUUGUUGCUCUUUUUAUUUAGGAUGACAAAGACACUUUAGCUUAUCUGAGUUCUUUUUCAUGCUUACUCAGAAAGGAAUGGAUGUGAUCCUGUAUAAUGUUUAUCGAGAUCAUAGUAUCCCAGUGGCAAAAGCAACCAUUCUGUCAAUUUAUCAGAGAAAAGAGGUAGGUGGUCAGGAGCUUGGCUCUGAAUAUUGUGAGGUUGCCGUGAACUAUAUAAUAAAAAGGGAUGCUAUACUACCUCGUGGUGUUGGGAACAUGACCACCAUGGAACAAGCUCAAGGGCGAUGUAUCGCAUAGCCAUACAAGGAUGUGAGAUUUUGUUCUUAUUUUCUUAUGAUUAAACCUACCAAUGACUAUGAUGGUUGAUUGCUGAAGAAGCUUUGCUUCUGUGUAUGCAGUUGGAAGUGGACAAGUCCAUGGAAAAAGCAGGAAUGCGACCACAAGCAGGCUAAGGAGGUAAUAUACAUGUUUCUCUUGGUUGCCCAGGAUUUCUAUAGAUUUCUACUGAUUUGCUAGUAUGUUUCGGUUGUCAGCCCAUCUACAGUCCACUGACUUCCCUCAAAAAAAAAAUCUACAGUCCACUGACAACCAGCCAUCUCAUAUAUUAUUAUAUCCAAAGCCUGAAAGCCUCCAAGGUCUUUCUCUCGAGCAUGUAGCAGCUUGCAAGCAGCGCCACAGCUACUCGCUAGUCAUGCAUAUGCUUAAUUAAUUUUCUAAUCAGAUGAAAAAAUCGCACCAUGACACUCAGAGAAGAAUUGAUUUGUUUUCGAGUCAGAUGAAAGCAUCGCUUCAAAUGAGUCAAGCAUAUAUAUGCUUCAGAAUUUGAAAUAUUUUGUGCUCUUCUUUUAUUUGGCCCGCCCAACUUUUCCUUUCAAGCUCAGCCACUGCUAUUGAGUAUCCUAUCUGUUGCAGGUUUCCCAAAGGUGCACAAGUUGAUGAAGAUUUGGAAGAUUUUCAAGCUCCUGAAGAUUUGGAAGAUCUACAAUAGUUUUAUGUAAUAUGCUUGUUUAGUUUGUGAAACUUAGACACACUUGCUCCGCUCAUUUUGCUGGUCGAUAAGCCAUAUGCUCAUUUUGGUUGUGUGGCACAACCAGAAACAUGUAUUUCUCCAUCUGUCGCACUAUUUCAUUUUAUUGGUUUUGUGACACAUUUUAAAACAUAUAUGUGCUGUACCUUUUGUGGCACAACCUCCUUAUAUGUAUAUUAUGGUUGUUAUGUUUAUCCAAUGACAUUUUAAGGUUCUGGAUGAGGCCUGAUAUUAUUUUGAUUGAAUUGUUAUGUACAUGCUGGCAAAACAUAUAUGUAUAUUAUUUCUGGAUGAGGCCUGAUAUUAUGGUUGUGCUGCUGGCUGGCAUAGGCCUGAUAUUAUGGUUGUGCUGCUGACUGAACAUACUAAAUGGAUAUUACAUAGGGGAUGCCCAGAACAAUUAGGUAGUGAAAUGUACAUGCUGGCAAAAUAACUACCGGAUCAACACUCUUCUGCCGGCAGUUAGACUGCCAGUAAUUAGUAGUCCACGUGUCUUGCCUAAUCUGCCGGGAGAAUGGAAACUGCCGGCAAAUAAAUGUACUAGGACAGUGGGACUGCCGGGAAUAUUUUAUCUGCCGGGAGAAGUGAUCCCCGGCAGCCGUUCUCGUGGCGGUUCUGCCUGCCGGGAGAAAUACUUCCCCGGCAGAUAGUGUGCCGUUUAAAGUGGUUUCUCAGGGCAGUUUACAUGCCGUUGCAUUAGUGUUGUGGUGUAGUGUUAAUACCUCACCACCUAGAGCAUAUAUUACGAAGAUCUCGCUUAUUUAUUUUUGAAGUCAAUGAUCUUAGGAAUAGAUUACCAUAAAUUUCUCUGAGGUAACUCUACCAUUUGCGCCAAUUGGCGCAACGGGUCAUUUCGUAUCAUUAAAGCUAGGAUCUUGCCCUCACGUUUGGCGGCCCCAACUCUCUUUCGCCCAUGUCUCUGCCACCUGAGUGAAAUGUGAAUUAAUUCCAUUGGAUGUAUAAAUGAUGGGUAUAGUCAUUCAAGUAUGCACUGCUGCUUGAAAUAGAUGGCAUGAUCUGCUGCGACACAGGCUGCCUCUUGAGAAGAUAAUCCACAUAUGCUCAGAAGGUCGUUCUGUGGUGUGCUGUGUGUAAUAGGCACUUCUUUGUUUUUGUGUGCAUCCAUGAAUCGAUGCUUUUCCUACAGCAGGGCAUCACGCAGCAUGCACAGUGACACAACAUGUUGCUUGCUUUUUCAAAGGGAUGAUGUCUUUGCUGAUUUUUGCGAUCCGGUGAGGUCUCUGCUUAUUUUAUACAACCUAAUGAGGUCUCCGCUUACUGAUUGGCUUUAGUUCUUACAAGGAAUAAAUAUAUCGAUAAUUCACCACCUAAAAUGUAUAUUCUGAUUAUCACAAUUUCUUAUUUUUGAAGUCGAUAAUCUUGGGAAUAGAUUACCAUUCAUUUCUUUUUGAGUAACUCCGUCAUUUGCACCAAUUGACGCAACAGGUCAUCUAGUAUCACUAAAGCUAGGAUCGACCUCUCAUGUUUGGGGAUCCAGCUCUCCCUUUGUCCAAUGUCCCUUCCACUUGAAAAAAUCGUUAAUUAAUUCAAUUGGAUCCAUACAUGGUUGGUAUAUUCAACCUAGUACGUAUUGCUGCUUCAAAUAGGGCACGAUUUGCUGCUACACAGGUUGCUUCUUGAGAAGCUAAUCCUCAUCUGCUCGGAAUAUCAUUAUGUGACAUACCAUGUGUAAUACGCACUGCUUUGCUUAUUUAUGCUUCCAUGAAUCGAUGCCUUUUCUACAGCAGGGCUUGACGCAGCAUUCAGGGUGACAUAGCAUGUUGGUUACAUUUUAUAAAUUAAUGAGGACUCUACUUAUUUUUUUUAUGACCGGGUGAGGUCUUGGCUUAUUUUUGACGACAUGGUGAAGUCUACGCUUACUGAUUGGCUUUAAGUUUUCAACCGCGCGCCAGAACAAANUACAUGUCUCUUAUAUUUUAAAUAAUCUGAUUUCAGCAAUGUGUUUUCAAAAUGAAAUAACAAACUUCAACGAAACUGAGAAAAUAUUUUAGUGGCCAUGUAGUGAUGCUUAUCGAAGGUUGUUUAGCAACGAUGCCCGAAUUUUUUCACAUGAAAUGCGCUGAUUUAUGGGCAAUAAUAUGGAUAACAUAGCAAAUAAUAAUAUACUACUAUAUUAAUAGAGCACAACUCUCANGCUUUAAGUUUUCAACCGCGCGCCAGAACAAAUCAGCUGCUGAAGUCUCCGUUUAUUUAUUUUUUCGAACAACUGAGGUCUCGGCUUCCUGAGUGGCUUGAAUUUUUCGCACAAGCACAUGUAUUGGAAUUUUCCCCGUACGUACAAGUGGAUGUUCUUGUUUCCCUACUGAAAGGAGAAUAAUAAUGGCUCUAAGAUUAGCUAAAGCAACCCAUCGAGCUAGCUUGUGCACUAGUAUAAAUACACAAUUCACGGUGACAGCAAAUCUCAUCCAUCAUUACACACACGAACUUCUUUCCUUCAUUCCGUAAGGCAGCAUUACUGAUGGAGUACUCUCCAAAGCUAGCUGCAGCACUGCUCUUAGCCCUCACGUCCGCCAUGAUCGUCACCGCCCAGAAUGACGAUGCUGACUACAUGGUAAAUGCCCACAAUGAAGUGCGCGCCGCCGUCGGUGUGGGGCCGGUGACGUGGGACCCCGUAGUGGCGGCGUACGCGCAGUCAUUCGCGGAGAAGCGCCGCACCGACUGCCAGCCAAUACUCUCUCCGGAUGGCGGUCCAUACGGAGAGAACAUCUUUCGGGCCCCUGGUACCGAAUGGAAUGCGAUAGACGUAGUGAUUUAUUGGGCGUCCGGAAAGCAGUACUACGACCACGCCACCAACACUUGCUCCGCACCUACGGGUGAGUCGUGCGAUGAAUACAUGAAUUUGGUGUGGAGGGACACGAAGACCAUCGGUUGCGGCGCUGUCGUCUGUGACGGCAAUGCCGGUGUGUUUGUCAUCUGCAGCUACAGCCCGCCGCACAUGGUUGGGCAGAUUCCAUACUAGGCUACGUACCAAGUAUGCAUGCGGCUAUGUAUGCAUGCAUGCACAUAGCACCGUGCUGCAUAAAUAAAUAAUUAAGGGAUACUUCUAGGGCUGGGAACUAAUUAUCGGUCGAUUGAUGUCACCGAUAUGUGUGUGUGUCCAGAAACCCUCCUGCCUUCACUCCUGUAUCGUUCCGGGCUUUGAUUGUUUUGGUAUUUGUCUUGUAACUUGUGAUUCGUCUUUGAUUUGUUGUAUUUGAGCUUCUUAUUCUGGUUGUAUCCGGGCUUUGCUCUGGAUGGGUCUCUAGUAUAGUUGGAACGAGAAAAGAACAAGCACAAUAUCACGUAGACCUUAAGUUCAAGCAACAUGUUUGUGUUCUAGAGAACAAAACUUACAUGUCUCUUAUAUUUUAAAUAAUCUGAUUUCAGCAAUGUGUUUUCAAAAUGAAAUAACAAACUUCAACGAAACUGAGA
rnacentral:lncRNA from 1 species